UACGUAGGUGGCGAGCGUUGUCCGGAAUUACUGGGUGUAAAGCGCGUGUAGGCGGGUGGCCAAGUCUGUGGUGAAAUCGCUCGGCUUAACUGGGCGGGGUCCAUGGAAACUGGUCACCUGGAGGUCGGUAGAGGCAAGUGGAAUUCCCGGUGUAGUGGUGAAAUGCGUAGAGAUCGGGAGGAACACCAGUGGCGAAGGCGGCUUGCUGGGCCGGACCUGACGCUGAGACGCGAAGGCGUGGGGAGCGAACGGG
rnacentral:rRNA from 1 species